rnacentral:rRNA from 1 species
GACGAACGCUGGCGGCGUGCUUAACACAUGCAAGUCGAACGGAAAGGCCCAGCUUGCUGGGUGCUCGAGUGGCGAACGGGUGAGUAACACGUGGGAGAUCUGCCCUGGACUUUGGGAUAAGCCUGGGAAACUGGGUCUAAUACCGGAUAUGACCUUCGCCUGCAUGGGUGUUGGUGGAAAGCUUUUGCGGUUCAGGAUGGGCCCGCGGCCUAUCAGCUUGUUGGUGGGGCAAUGGCCUACCAAGGCGACGACGGGUAGCCGACCUGAGAGGGUGAUCGGCCACACUGGGACUGAGACACGGCCCAGACUCCUACGUGAGGCAGCAGUGGGGAAUAUUGCACCAUGGGCGCAAGCCUGAUGCAGCGACGCCGCGUGGGGGAUGACGGCCUUCGGGUUGUAAACCUCUUUCGCUAGGGACGAAGCUUUUGGGUGACGGUACCUGGAGAAGAAGCACCGGCCAACUACGUGCCAGCAGCCGCGGUAAAAC